CCUUCAUGAAGCUGGAAUUGCUAGUAAUGGCAGGUCAGCAUACUGCCGUGAAUACGUUCCCGGGCCCUUGUACACACCGCCCGUCACACCAUGAGAGUUGGAAAUACCCGAAGCCUGUGAGCUAACUGUAAAGAGGCAGCAGUCGAAGGUAGAGCCAAUGAUUGGGGUGAAGUCGUAACAAGGUAAC
rnacentral:rRNA from 1 species